ACUCAAUAGAUACCCAGGUAGUCCUGGCAGUAAACGGUGCACGUUUGGUGUGGGAGGAAUCGACCCCUUCCGUGCCGGAGCUAAACGCGUUAAACGUGCCGCCUGGGGAGUACGGUCGCAAGAUUAAAACUCAAAGAGAUUGACGGGGGCCCGCACAAGCGGUGGAGUAUGUGGCUUAAUUCGAUGCAACGCGAAGAACCUUACCUGGGCUUGACAUGCAUCUCUAAGUCGGUGAAAGCCGGCGAGUCCCGCAAGGGACGAUUUGCACAGGUGCUGCAUGGCUGUCGUCAGCUCGUGUCGUGAGAUGUUGGGUUAGGUCCCGCAACGAGCGCAACCCCUGUGACCUGUUGCCACCUCUCUUUUUGAGAGAGCACUCUGGUCAGACUGCCCUGUGAAACGGGGAGGAAGGUGGGGAUGACGUCAAGUCAGCAUGGCCCUUACGCCCAGGGCUGCACACGUACUACAAUGCCUGGUACAGAAUGAACCGAGACCGCGAGGUGGAGGAAAUCCAUGAAAACCAGGCCCAAUUCGGA
rnacentral:rRNA from 1 species